rnacentral:rRNA from 1 species
CCUACGGGUGGCAGCAGUGGGGAAUAUUGCACAAUGGGGGAAACCCUGAUGCAGCGACGCCGCGUGAGUGAAGAAGUAUUUCGGUAUGGAAAGCUCUAUCAGCAGGGAAGAAAAUGACGGUACCUGACUAAGAAGCCCCGGCUAACUACGGGCCAGCAGCCGCGGUAAUACGUAGGGGGCAAGCGUUAUCCGGAUUUACUGGGUGUAAAGGGAGCGUAGACGGCCAGACAAGUCAGAAGUGAAAGCCAAGGGCUCAACCCUGGGACUGCUUUUGAAACUGCCGGGCUGGAGUGCAGGAGAGGUAAGCGGAAUUCCUAGUGUAGCGGUGAAAUGCGUAGAUAUUAGGAGGAACACCAGUGGCGAAGGCGGCUUACUGGACUGUAACUGACGUUGAGGCUCGAAAGCGUGGGGAGCAAACAGGAUUAGAUACCCGAGUAGUC